GGCUCAGGACGAACGCUGGCGGCGUGCUUAAUACAUGCAAGUCGAACGGGGUCCAACCAGCGGCAACACUGGGGAAGACCUAGUGGCGAACGGGUGAGUAACACGUGAGGAACCUGCCCCGAAGACUGGGAUAACAGCGGGAAACCGCUGCUAAUACCGGAUGCCUUCACCGGACCGCAUGAUCUGGUGAAGAAAUGGAUUCCGCUUCGGGAGGGCCUCGCGGCCUAUCAGCUUGUUGGUGGGGUAACGGCCUACCAAGGCGACGACGGGUAGCUGGUCUGAGAGGACGAUCAGCCACACUGGGACUGAGACACGGCCCAGACUCCUACGGGAGGCAGCAGUAGGGAAUCUUGCACAAUGGGCGAAAGCCUGAUGCAGCAACGCCGCGUGGGGGAUGAAGGCCCUCGGGUUGUAAACCCCUUUCAGCAGGGACGAAACUGACGGUACCUGCAGAAGAAGCUCCGGCCAACUACGUGCCAGCAGCCGCGGUAACACGUAGGGGGCGAGCGUUGUCCGGAUUUAUUGGGCGUAAAGAGCUCGUAGGCGGCUCAGUUAGUCGGGUGUGAAACCCCCGGGCUCAACCCGGGGACGCCACCCGAUACUGCUGUGGCUAGAGUCCGGUAGGGGAGCGUGGAAUUCCUGGUGUAGCGGUGAAAUGCGCAGAUAUCAGGAGGAACACCAGCGGCGAAGGCGGCGCUCUGGGCCGGAACUGACGCUGAGGAGCGAAAGCGUAGGGAGCGAACAGGAUUAGAUACCCUGGUAGUCCACGCCGUAAACGUUGGGCACUAGGUGUGGGAUGUUAUCAACGCAUUCUGUGCCGUAGCUAACGCAUUAAGUGCCCCGCCUG
rnacentral:rRNA from 1 species